UACGUAGGGUGCGAGCGUUGUCCGGAAUUACUGGGCGUAAAGAGCUCGUAGGCGGUUUGUCGCGUCGUCUGUGAAAUUCCGGGGCUUAACCUCGGGCGUGCAGGCGAUACGGGCAAUACUUGAGUGCUGUAGGGAGACUGGAAUUCCUGGUGUAGCGGUGAAAUGCGCAGAUAUCAGGAGGAACACCGAUGGCGAAGGCAGGUCUCUGGGCAGUAACUGACGCUGAGGAGCGAAAGCAUGGGUAGCGAACAGGAUUAGA
rnacentral:rRNA from 1 species